rnacentral:rRNA from 1 species
GAGCCUUGAUGUGUAGGAUAGGUGGGAGGCUUUGAAGUGUGGACGCCAGUCUGCAUGGAGCCGACCUUGAAAUACCACCCUUUAAUGUUUGAUGUUCUAACGUGGACCCGUUACCCGGGUUGCGGACAGUGUCUGGUGGGUAGUUUGACUGGGGCGGUCUCCUCCUAAAGAGUAACGGAGGAGCACGAAGGUUGGCUAAUCCUGGUCGGACAUCAGGAGGUUAGU